CCUACGGGAGGCAGCAGUGGGGGAUAUUGCACAAUGGGGGGAACCCUGAUGCAGCGACGCCGCGUGGGUGAAGAAGCGCCUCGGCGCGUAAAGCCCUGUCAGCAGGGAAGAAAAUGACGGUACCUGAAGAAGAAGCCCCGGCUAACUACGUGCCAGCAGCCGCGGGAAUACGUAGGGGGCAAGCGUUAUCCGGCUUUACUGGGGGUAAAGGGGGCGCAGACGGCGAUGCAAGCCAGGAGUGAAAGCCCGGGGCCCAACCCCGGGACUGCUGUUGGAACUGCGUGGCUGGAGUGCAGGAGGAGCAGGCGGAAUUCCUGGUGUAGCGGUGAAAUGCGUAGAUAGCAGGAGGAACACCGGUGGCGAAGGCGGCCUGCUGGACUGCAACUGACGUUGAGGCCCGAAAGCGUGGGGAGCAAACAGGAUUAGAUACCCCAGUAGUC
rnacentral:rRNA from 1 species